rnacentral:rRNA from 1 species
CGUGUAGGCGGCCUAGCAAGUCGGGUGUGAAAGCCCUCGGCUUAACCGAGGAAGUGCGCCCGAAACUACUAGGCUUGAGUACCGGAGAGGGUGGCGGAAUUCCCGGUGUAGAGGUGAAAUUCGUAGAUAUCGGGAGGAACACCAGCGGCGAAGGCGGCCACCUGGACGGAUACUGACGCUGAGACGCGAAAGCGUGGGGAGCAAACA